AGAUAAUUGGUCCUUAGUCAUUUUUUAAAUGAGGCAGUAUAAUAUGGCACAAAUCAGUGACAGGGGAGGUUUGUGAAGAAUACAAAGAAAAGUCUGGAAAUGAUGUCUAUUAAGGCAUGUUUGAUUUGGUACGACAGUACACAUAGAAAGGAAAAUUGAUAUCUUCUAAUCACUGAAGUUCUGUGUGAUAGAACAAGGAAUAAAUUGUUACAUGAAGUUCAAAAAUUGCAAGUCUGGGACACUAGCAACAUGGCUUUUUUUUCUACAUGGAGUUAAAAGUCCUUACUUCAACUGCUGCUGAGAUAGUUGAUGGAGGGAUAGCUGAUAACUAUGAGGGCCACGUAAUAUUCAAAUAAUUGGUGGUGAUUUCCAGCAUGAACAAACUUGAAAAGCUCUAUUAUUCCAGAUGAAUCUUGUUCAGCAUAUUUAAAAUACUUUUAUACUUGAGGUAUACAAAUAUAAAAUAAUUCUUAUAUUUGUGUUUGUAUCAUUAGAUUUGUGGAAAAAA
rnacentral:lncRNA from 1 species